AUCUUUCUAGUACAAAGACAGUAUAAGUGACUUCCAAUCACACGAUCUUGGUUAAAAUCCAAGGAGAGAUA
rnacentral:tRNA from 1 species